AUGAUUGACAAGGUGAAGCAAGUCACGUGA
rnacentral:piRNA from 1 species